AUACAUUGUUGGCUUACAAAUAUUUGGUUGCUUUGAGCGUUCUAGAAAUGCAAUUCGAACGCAUGAAAUUGAUAUUAUGUUUCGUAUUUUUGAAGAGCAGAUAGAACCGAAAAGACCAAAAAGUAAUACUGCAGAUCAUGUCAUACAAUUAAAAAAGUAUUAAAAACCUUUACAUAACCUUUAUAUCCCAUAACAGCAUUUUAUUAGAUUUGAUAACUAUGUAGGGUCAUCGCCAAAUACAACAUAUUCUUACAUCCAAUCCCCUAAAUCCCGUAUUGAAAUAUUAAUCGAAACAAAUACACAUACGAUUUUACGGGAACUAUCCAAAUGAAAAUCGUACAGCGCAUGCGGAUAGAUUCUUAAAAAAAUUAACGAAUCGGUUGAUGGAACUGAGAAAGCUGACAUGAAAAUUAAGAACGGAAAUAAUUAGGACACCCGGAACAACGAUAAUAUUAGAUAUGACACUUAAAUAUAUGCAGAUGGACUCACAAUCACAAGGAUUU
rnacentral:lncRNA from 1 species